rnacentral:rRNA from 1 species
AUUGAACGCUGGCGGCAGGCCUAACACAUGCAAGUCGAGCGAGCGGCGGACGGGGGUGAAAUGUGUGGGAAAAUGCCCGAUGGGGGGGGAUAACACCUGGAAACGGUAGCUCAUACCGCAUACCCUCAGAUAUGCCCCGAUGGGAUUAGCUAGUAGGGGGGGUAACGGCUCACACAGGCGACGCACCCUAGCUGGUCUGAGAGGAUGACCAGUCACACUGGAACGGAGACACGGUCCAGACUCCGACGGGAGGCAGCAGUGGGGAAUAUUGCACAAUGGGCGCAAGCCUGAUGCAGCCAUGCCGCGUGUGGGAAGAAGGCCUUCGGGUUGUAAAGCACUUUCAGCGGGGAGGCGUUACCCGCAGAAGAAGCACCGGCUAACUCCGUGCCAGCCGCCGCGGUAAUAC